CCUACGGGAGGCAGCAGUGAGGAAUAUUGGUCAAUGGACGAGAGUCUGAACCAGCCAAGUAGCGUGAAGGAUGACUGCCCUAUGGGGUGUAAACUUCUUUUAUAAAGGAAUAAAACGAGGCACGUGUGCCUUUUUGCAUGUACGUUAUGAAUAAGGAUCGGCUAACUCCGUGCCAGCAGCCGCGGUAAUACGGAGGCUCCGAGCGUUAUCCGGAUUUAUUGGGUUUAAAGGGAGCGUAGAUGGGUUGUUAAGUCAGUUGUGAAAGUUUGCGGCUCAACCGUAAAAUUGCAAUUGAUACUGGCAGUCUUGAGUACAGUUGAGGUAGGCGGAAUUCGUGGUGUAGCGGUGAACUGCUUAGAUAUCACGCAGAACCCCGAUUGCGAAGGCAGCUUACUAAACUGUGACUGACAUUGAUGCUCGAAAGUGUGGGUAUCAAACAGGAUUAGCUACCCCAGUAGUC
rnacentral:rRNA from 1 species